rnacentral:sRNA from 1 species
AGCAGCCGCGGUAAUUCCAGCUCCAAUAGCGUAUAUUAAGGUUGUUGCAGUUAAAAAGCUCGUAGUUGAAUUUCGGGAUCAAAGGAUCGGUCAUGCCUUGGUAUGUACUGGUUUUAUUGGUUCUCACCUUCUAAAGAACCAUAAUGUCAUUCAUUUGAUGUUAUGGGGAAUUAGGACUGUUACCUUGAAAAAAUUAGAGUGUUUAAAGCAGGCUUACGCUUGAAUACAUUAGCAUGGAAUAAUGAAAUAGGACAUCAGAUUCUAUUUUGUUGGUUUCUAGGAUCGAUGUAAUGAUUAAUAGGGAUAGUUGGGGGCAUUAGUAUUCAAUUGUCAGAGGUGAAAUUCUUGGAUUUAUUGAAGACUAACUACUGCGAAAGCAUUUGCCAAGGAUGUUUUCAUUAAUCAAGAACGAAAGUUAGGGGAUCGAAGACGAUCAGAUACCGUCGUAGUCUUAACCAUAAACUAUGCCGACUAGGGAUCGGAUGAUGUUAAUUUUAUAAUGACUCAUUCGGCACCUUAC